AACGCUGGCGGCGUGCCUAACACAUGCAAGUCGGAUGUGCCGCAAGGUGCAUGGCAGACGGGUGAGUAACGCGUGGGGAAUCUACCUUUUUGUGGGGAAUAACGCUCCGAAAGGAGUGGUAAUACCGCAUGAGACCGCGGGCUGGGAUGCCUGUGGUGAAACCUGGGGACCGUAAGGCCUGGGGCAAAAAGAGGAUCCUGCGUCUGAUUAGCUAGUUGGCGGGGUAAUGGCCCACCAAGGCGACGAUCAGUAGCCGGCCUGAGAGGGUGAUCGGCCACACUGGAACUGAGACACGGUCCAGACUCCUACGGGAGGCAGCAGUGGGGAAUUUUGCGCAAUGGACGAGAGUCUGACGCAGCAACGCCGCGUGGGUGAUGAAGGUCUUCGGACUGUAAAACCCUGUCGUCAGGGACGAAGGUGGCGGAGUUAAUAGCUCCGUUACUUGACGGUACCUGGAGAGGAAGCCCCGGCUAACUCUGUGCCAGCAGCCGCGGUAAUACAGAGGGGGCAAGCGUUAUUCGGAAUUAUUGGGCGUAAAGGGCGCGUAGGCGGUUUUUUAAGUCAGAUGUGUAAGCCCCGGGCUCAACCUGGGAACUGCAUCUGAGACUGGAAGGCUAGAGUACUGGAGAGGGUGGUGGAAUUCCUCGUGUAGCGGUGAAAUGCGUAGAGAUGAGGAGGAACACCAGUGGCGAAGGCGGCCACCUGGACAGUAACUGACGCUGAGGCGCGAAAGUGUGGGUAGCAAACAGGAUUAGAUACCCUGGUAGUCCACGCUGUAAACGAUGAACACUUGGUGUGGUGGGAGUUGACCCCUGCCGUGCCGGAGCUAACGCGUUAAGUGUCC
rnacentral:rRNA from 1 species